ensembl:lncRNA
CCAUUUUGAACCAGGAACUCUGGUCUGAGGGGCCGGAGUGAGGCGCCUGCGCACAGCAGCCUGUGAGCCGGUGACACCAGAUGAAGCACAAAGAAAAAAAAACCAAAGAGCUAUUUGUAAAUAGCAAAGGAGAAAAGGAAAGAUAUAAGCAUCUGAAUGCAGAGUUCCAAAGAAUAGCAAGAAGAGAUAAGAAAGGCUUCUUCAGCGAUCAAUGCAAAGAAAUAGAGGAAAACAACAGAAUGGAAAAGACUAGAGAUCUCUUCAAGAAAAUUAGAGAUACCAAGGGAACAUUUCAUGCAAAGAUGGGCUCGAUAAAGGACAGAAAUGGUAUGGACCUAACAGAAGCAGAAGAUAUUAAGGAGAGGUGGCAAGAAUACAAGGAAGAACUGCAUAAAAAAGAUCUUCACGACCCAGAUAAUCAUGAUGAUGUGAUCACUAAUCAAGAGCCAGACAUCUUGGAAUGUGAAGUCAAGUUGGCCUUAGAAAGCAUCACUACGAACAAAGCUAGUGGAGGUGAUGGAAUUCCAGUUGAGCUGUUUCAAAUCCUGAAAGAUGAUGCUGUGAAAGUGCUGCACUCAAUAUGCCAGCAAAUUUGGAAAACUCAGCAGUGGCCACGGGACUGGAAAAGGUCAGUUUUCAUUCUAAUCCCAAAGAAAGGCAAUGCCAAAGAAUGUUCAAACUACUGCACAAUUGCACUCAUCUCACAUGCUAGUAAAGUAAUGCUCAAAAUUCUCUAAGCCAGGCUUCAGCAAUACAUUAACUGUGAACUUCCAGAUGUUCAAGCUGGUUUUAGAAAAGGCAGAGGAACCAGAGAUCAAAUUGCCAACAUCCGCUGGAUCAUGGAAAAAGCAAGAGAGUUCCAGAAAAACAUCUAUUUCUGCUUUCUUGACUAUGCCAAAGCCUUUGACUGUGUGGAUCACAAUAAACGGUGGAAAAUUCUGAACGAGACUGGAAUACCAGACCACCUGACCUGCCUCUUGAGAAAUCUGUAUGCAGGUCAGGAAGCAACAGUUAGAACUGGACUUGGAACAACAGACUGGUUCCAAAUAGGAAAAGGAGUACGUCAAGGCUGUAUAUUGUCACCCUGCUUAUUUAACUUCUAUGCAGAGUACAUCAUGAGAAACGCUGGACUGGAAGAAACACAAGCUGG